CUGGACUCUCCAUUUACUCACCUGUUCCAUAUCAGCUCCUGAUUAGCAGCCUCCUGAGGCUCUGGUCUCCUCUUUACAUGCUGCCAGAUUGUUUCUACUCUCCAAGUGCGUCUCCCUCCUUCGAUCCCCAGCGCCUAACCAUGCACUGCCAAGCUUCAGAUCUUUGGAAGUCCUGAAUCCCACUUGGAAAUCAAGAAAUGAGGCCAGAAGCUCCCAGAAGAAUCACGGAAUAAAACAAGGAAAGUCACACUGAAUGACUGCUGUGUGGAGGCUAAUCAUUACUGUUACUAGCCUGUUGACUCUCCUUUUCCUCCCCUCGAGUACUGCUGUGGAGGAGUGACGCCUACAUGGCAGCAACACACUCAUUUCUCAUCACGGAGGUACAAGGUCUUUUUAUCGGGACGGGAGAGCCUGAAGAUGACAUCAUGCAGCUCUAUGGACAGCUGUCAGGAUGAGUCAGGUGAAUGUGGGCAGACUGAAAGUCGCUGUGUUCCUUAUGUCAAGAGGAAAAAAAUCCUCCUGCUGUGAGGGACCUUCCAAUCCAGUCAACAUCAAAGUAUGAGUAACAGCUUUGACAGGGAGCUUUAAAUACAGUAGCCGCCAUGAAUGCAGAACAAUAGAGGAAGAAAGAAUUGUGAAAAAAACUCAUUGACAGCUGCAAUCACAAGUUUUUUCUGAUCGGCAUUUAGCAGUGACUUUCAACUGGAAUAGAAAUAGAAUGCUUCAAAUGUCAUUAUACAUAGUCUACAAAAUUAUGAAUUGCCUUACCUUUACAUGCAUGACAUUCAGGCAUUCAUAACAUAGUUGCAAAUAUUCAUUCAAGUUGCACAAAAUAAGCAAAUUUGACUACAUAAUAAUAAUUGUAUUUCGAAAAAUCAGCAACUUUAACAAAAAGAAUUACCCAAACAACUCCAACAUUUUCAAGAUCCUCUUUUUUAAAUCUAUUUUUUUCAUCCACCAUACUUCCACACACACAGAUUUGCAUGUGCUCAAUUAUACAUUCAGAGUGUGACAAACAUGUGCACUUCCCCAUAAUGAGAAGGAAUUAUUUAUAGCAUGCUGUGCUCUUAUCAUUUGUCGGGCCCAACAGGUACAAAAAGAGUGGAGGUCAAGGACACCCAAAACUUGUCCUCCCAGCAAGCUGUUCCUCUGACAAACAUUUAUCAUUCAAGCACACAACUGCACCACAUCCAAUCCCUUUUCAGUCUUAAUUGGAUAAACAAAUCUUCAACGCUGUGGAAGUGAUUGGUCAUCCUCUUUUUGACUGAAAUUAAAAUUGUACAUAAGAGAGUUCACUGUUAUAUCUCUGUUUGCUGGAUUAUAAUAUGCUUAUUUAAUGCACGACCCUUCAGUUUUGCCAUGGUCAAAACUCUCUUUGGGGAAACAAUUAGUUUGCAAUUUAUUAUUGCACAAAAAAUAUUCAGGAGUGUCUUUCUUGAAGAUAAUAAUAUUCUGAAGCCUUCAUUAAGAGCUUCCUAAGUACAUUUGUAAGCUCAUUCCUUUCAGGACUAUAAUUCAUGCUGCAUUGGUGGAGCCUCUUAAUUAACACCUACUUCAGCCAACAAAUAGAAGUGUGUUAGUUGUACUUGCCUGCAGAACAAAACACCAUUGUUGUUUGUAAUUUUCUCCGUGGCCACCUCCUUGAAUUGCUCGAGACUGUCUCCCUUUUCGCUCUUUCUCUUUUUUGGGGAUUUUAGACUCUUUAUAUAAUUGAAAUUAUGAAAUCUGCUUGUAGUGCUUUGUCAUAUUUGAUUACGUUGUUUCUUUUUAUAAACAGACUUAUCUUUAGCCGGUGCAGUUUUCAACACACACACCAAAUGAAAGGUGCAAAAAGGAUGCAGGCUGUAAAAAAUGUAAUCACCUAAUUACCGACUGUCAGACCCACUUAUUUUUUACCACCGUGGGGAAAAUUCCGUUAGUAUGACACCUCUGUUUAAAGACAGAGUGUGUGUGUUGUAAGGCUGAAAAGUGAGACAGGAGGGGUGGCACCUGGCCUCUUUAGAUAAUCUAUUUAUGGCUUUCACACUUGAUUAGGCCCAAACUAAAAUACUUGGCUCUUGAAUGUGUUUAUCAAAUGUUUUAGUGUUAUCAGUCACAGCAGCAACAAACCAUAAAAAGUGUUGCGACUGCAUACUGAUCUGAUCUUGUAUGGUUUUUCUUAACCUUGAAAUUGCAGAAUUUGUGACAUCUGCCAGCUAUCUCUUCCUAUCUGAAUAGAAGUCUCAUCUGAAAUGUCAGUGCUGCUGUUGGGGAUGUUUAUUAUACAUAAAUAAAAUAUGAGAAACUGAA